GCGACUGUAGUUAAGUGGUAUAAUUGGGCCCUGCCACGGCUCGGUCCCGGGUUCGAAUCCCGGCGGUCGCA
rnacentral:tRNA from 1 species